CAGUCGCCACGGGAAUACGGAGGGGGCUAGCGUUGUUCGGAAUUACUGGGCGUAAAGCGCACGUAGGCGGCUUGGUAAGUUAGAGGUGAAAGCCUUGAGCCCAACUCCAGAAUUGCCUUUAAGACUGCCGAGCUAGCAGGUGAGAGAGGUAAGUGGAAUUCCGAGUGUAGAGGUGAAAUUCGUAGAUAUUCGGAAGAACACCAGUGGCGAAGGCGGCUUACUGGCUCAUACUGGACGCUGAGGUGCGAAAGCGUGGGGAGCAAACAGGAUUAGAUACCCCAGUAGUCCCUGUCUCUUAUAC
rnacentral:rRNA from 1 species